GCCCGCUUAGCUCAGAGGUUAGAGUUUCGCAUUUCUAAUGAGAUGGUUAUCGGUUCGAUUCUGAUAACCGACC
rnacentral:tRNA from 1 species